rnacentral:rRNA from 1 species
GACGAACGCUGGCGGCGUGCCUAAUACAUGCAAGUUGAGCGCUGAAGGUUGGUACUUGUACCAACUGGAUGAGCAGCGAACGGGUGAGUAACGCGUGGGGAAUCUGCCUUUGAGCGGGGGACAACUUUGGGAAACGAAUGCUAAUACCGCAUAAAAACUUUAAACACAAUUUUUAAGUUUAAAAGAUGCAAUUGCAUCACCCAAAGAUGAUCCCGCGUUGUAUUAGCUAGUUGGUGAGGUAAGGGCUCACCAAGGCGAUGAUAAAUAGCCGACCUGAGAGGGUGAUCGGCCACAUUGGGACUGAGACACGGCCCAAACUCCUACGGGAGGCAGCAGUAGGGAAUCUUCGGCAAUGGACGAAAGUCUGACCGAGCAACGCCGCGUGAGUGAAGAAGGUUUUCGGAUCGUAAAACUCUGUUGGUAGAGAAGAACGUUGGUGAGAGUGGAAAGCUCAUAAAGUGACGGUAACUACCCAGAAAGGGACGGCUAACUACGUG